GAGUCAUUGGGACUCUGACAAAACCUAAAGGCGCAAUGAAAGUAAAGGUCCGCCUCGCGCGGACCGAGGGAGGAUGGGCCCGCCCCGGCGCGGGCCCCGCACUCCCGGGGCGUCUCGUUCUCAUCGCGAGAAGAGGCGCACCCAGAGCGUACACGCUGGGACCCGAAAGAUGGUGAACUAUGCCUGGUCAGGACGAAGUCAGGGGAAACCCUGAUGGAGGUCCGUAGCGAUUCUGACGUGCAAAUCGAUCGUCGGAACUGGGUAUAGGGGCGAAAGACUAAUCGAACCUUCUAGUAGCUGGUUCCCUCCGAAGUUUCCCUCAGGAUAGCUGGCGCUCGCCUUUGCGAGUCUCAUUCGGUAAAGCGAAUGAUUAGAGGCAUUGGGGUCGAAACGGCCUCAACCUAUUCUCAAACUUUAAAUGGGUGAGAUCUCCGGCUUGCUCGAAACGUGAAGCCGCGAGAGAUCGGAUCACAGAGUGCCAAGUGGGCCACUUUUGGUAAGCAGAACUGGCGCUGUGGGAUGAACCAAACGCCGAGUUAAAGCGCCUAAAUCGACGCUUAUGGGAUACCAUGAAAGGCG
rnacentral:rRNA from 1 species